AACUCUUCCCCACCGAUUCGCGGUUUCUUGGCGUUGAUCAAAAAUAUAGGAGGCGAAGGGAGGGCGUUCGGGUCGGCGCGACGGUUAAAGUAAAUACAACGGUCACUUUCCUAUUCGAUCGGUCAGUCAACGAGCAUGUCUCUGCGCGAAUGGUACGCGGAUCGCGAGCUGCUUUUAACAGGAGCGACCAGCGACGUGGGACGAGCGUUGCUCGAAAAGAUCCUUCGCUCGUUCCCUCACGUGAAGAUAUACGCGAUCGUUCGUACCCGCCACGGCUUCACCAAAGACGACAGGAUCAAGAAUAUCUUUCUUUCGCCACGAUUCGUGAGAUUGAGACAAGAGGAUCCGAACGCUCUUUCGCGAGUGAAAGUGUUAGAAGGUAAUUUGUCGUACAACGGUUUCGGCAUGAGCGAGAGGGACAAGGAGCUGUUGGAAAACGUGAGCGUGGUGUUCCACGCCGGGGGCCCGUGCGACGAGACAGUUCGAUUCUCCAAACAAUUGUCGCGGAUCCAAGCAAUCGUAGUAGUAAGGAGCAUCUUUGAGCGGGCGAGCGACGACCGAGUGGCCGAGGCGGGGAGGGAAGGGGGCGAGGACGACGGACCCGUGGCACUGGUGCGGGUUCCGUUGGUCGGGCCUGCACUCCGCGAGCCCAUGCCCGGAUUCGUGGACACACUGAAAGGAUCGACGGCUUUGAUAGCGGGAGCGGGCCACGUCCUCGGCAAUUCGAACCUUCAGGCGGAAAUUAUUCCGAUCGAUCUGGCGGUCAACACCUUGAUCACUGUUGCUUGGGAACGAGCCACCUCGAAAAAUGUACAAGGUCCAGUGAUAUACAACGCGAUCCCGAUAGGAUGCACAUGGAGUGACCUGAUUAAGAAAUCUCGGCAAGCCAACCGAAAGUUUACAUAUCCGACUUUCGGCUUCCGUGGUAUGACAUCUAUAGUAACGCUACAUUGGGCUUUGGUGGUGCUUUUUGAAUGGUUGCCAUCCACACUCUGCGACACGAUUCUCGGACUGGUCGGAGCAAAGAAAAGUUCAUCAGAAGAGUGGAAAAAGUUGAAAGAAAGUUUGAUAAUGAAUAAAAGGCAUCGUAUGAAACAAAAUAGAAGUUUUGAUGAUAAAUAAAAGGUAUUUUGGAAGGCGUUCUUUAAUACUUUCAUCGUGAAACGUGCUGUUUUAAUAAAAGACCAAAAGGAUGGAAAGAUGUCGGUGAUUUAGUACACUUGCAUCCCUUUGACCUUAAUUACAGUAAUCACGCUGCUUGCGACAUUAUAAAAUUGCAAAAAAAUUGCGCUUUGAGUUAAGGUAAGUGGAAAGAAAAAUAUUUCUUUAAUUAUACUUGCUUCUUUUAGAAGUUUUCAUCCACUUUUAGAGAGUUAAACGUUUAUCACCUUCCCUUGUUCUGCAUUUCAUCUGUUGUAGAAAUUUUCAUUCAUCGUUUCAAUAAUAUAUUAUGAAUUUUAACUCUUGUGUUAAUAAUAUUUAGAAUUGGCAAAAUAUUAAUGAGGUCAAAAAUUGGUAGAGGUCGAAAAUUUUGGAUAUUGACAUCAAAGUUGAUGCAAAAUACAUAGAAACGUUAUUGUUCAAUCCACGGAUGUCUUCCAAGCAAUACCGAGGUAAAGACUAACGAGACGAGGACUUAAAAUUUGAAAUCUAUAAUUACAUAUUGCGUCACCUGUUGCCCGUGCUUGCAGUUAAUGAGAAGUUACGUGAAAUUAGUGGAAUGGGUACUUUUAACUUUACAUUUUAGUUUAUUACCGAUUAAUGAUGACGAUAAAACUAUUAGAGUAGUGAAACUAUUAGAAUAAAACUUUGGAACUUAAUGAGCUUAUUACAUUGCAUAUUGCUUAUGGUUAUGCUGAGAGCAAAACUAACGCUAAUAAAAUGAGCCCUAUAUUAGAUCUAUUACAUUUUCUGUUACCAGCAAAUGGCCAUGAGCAAUACAGAAAACAAAGUUAAAGCCUAUGAAACUUGCAAAGUAGGUUCCAUUAAGUUCUAUUAUAAUUUCUGUUACGCAUAGUUGCAACAUGAAAUAAUGUUGCGAAUAAAAAUUAAUUCUACAGAAUUAGCGAAGAUCUGAUUUUUGAUUUAUUGUACUUUUUACAUUGCCUAUUUCAUCUAUUAAAUCGGUUGCUUGAUGAUAAUAUCGAAAGCAAAGUUAAAAAUUGCGAAAUUAGCAAAAAUGAUAAAUUGAAUACUUGAUACUUUAAGCUAAUACUUUUCAUUUACCGCUGGAAAUGAUAAAGCGAAAAUUAACGUCAGCAAAACUAGUGAAGUGAGGAUUUGAGAGACCUCUAGACUCGACUGAAUCUUCCAUGUAUAGCCUGUGCAGCCGAGACUUGCCGAUGUUAGCCGAAACUUGCCGAACGUUGCCCGCGAUUGUCUACCAUUCGAUCCGUAGUCAACUGUCGAACAGCUUCGAAGUUUCGAGUAAAUAUUUCGUCGCGAAAUUCGUUUCCAAGUUAAGUGUCUCAAAGCUGCGUAAGAACUUACGCGUCUUUAUUACUCGUGAAACGACAUCCGGUGAAUGAACUUUCGCAAUUACGUCGGAUGACCGAAAAGUGAAAUCGAGUGCAUCCCAUCGAUCUACACGGAUGAACAAUUUAGGGACGUGUUGCACAUGGUUGCCGUGAACGCGACGUUUGCAACCGUUUAUCAGCCCGGAGGAAAUUAUAGCGCGCUGCUGCAUCUAAUUGCGCUAAUCGAUUAAACAAUGGAACAAUAUACUUUUGACUAAUUAUAACCUGCGCAUAAUACACAGCGCACGUGGAAGCGGAGACAAAUGGUCGAGACAUGAAUUCUGCCUUGUAGGCAUAGCAACAAAGAUUAAGGAGCAAAAACAUCCUUUCCCGGAAAUUAUUUUCCUUCAGAGAAAUAACAAUAUAUUAUACAUUGAUUAUUAAAUUAAUUGAUAUUAAUUAUUUAUAGUAUGACUAUACAAACUCUUAUGAGGAAAAUAAUUAUAAUGCAAAGAGUUAAAUUAGAAAACUGUUAAAAUAUAAAUGAUAAAUGAGAUUUUUAUCGAAAUUUUCAGGAAACGGAUCGGAAUAAGUUGAUGAAUAAGAGUGAUGGAUAGGAUUUGAAGAAAGGGGAGGAGGGGGAAGAAGAUGAGUAAAAUCUUACUAAAAAUAAGC